rnacentral:rRNA from 1 species
UACGGAGAGAGCUAGCGUUGUUCGGAAUUACUGGGCGUAAAGCGCACGUAGGCGGCUUUGUAAGUUAGAGGUGAAAGCCCGGAGCUCAACUCCGGAAUUGCCUUUAAGACUGCAUCGCUUGAAUCCGGGAGAGGUGAGUGGAAUUCCGAGUGUAGAGGUGAAAUUCGUAGAUAUUCGGAAGAACACCAGUGGCGAAGGCGGCUCACUGGACCGGUAUUGACGCUGAGGUGCGAAAAGCGUGGGGGAGGCAAA